rnacentral:lncRNA from 1 species
AAUGUCUUUAAGCUAUUUAUAUGAGCUUUACACAAUGUGGUGUUUUGAUGAAGCAGUCAUUGAUGUUGCUUUGAAGACUUAAACAGCAACAUACAUGUAUGUGUAAAGUAGAGAAAAUCUAUAUUGAGCUAUAUACUGCAGACAUCAAGUUGGUGUUCUUAUGUAAGCUUGACAAGACUGGUUUUAUGCUUCAAAUAUGGUGUCAGUUAUUUGUUUAUUGUCCUCGUGGUCAUCGGCCAAUGAGUAAAUAAUAGUUAUUGUAAUAUUUGAAAGGGAAAACAAUUUCUUGUUCUAACAGCUAUUACGUGUAUUGCAUUGCAGUUUGAAUUAUAAAUACUUCUCUAAUCAAACUUGAACUUGCUACUUACAGACUGAAAAAAAAGAAAUGCUACAUUAGUCUGUUUCAGCAUCAUUGAUUUUUUUUUG